GACGAACGCUGGCGGCGUGCCUAAUACAUGCAAGUAGAACGCUGAAGGAGGAGCUUGCUCUUCUGGAUGAGUUGCGAACGGGUGUGUAACGCGUAGGUAACCUGCCUGGUAGCGGGGGAUAACUAUUGGAAACGAUAGCUAAUACCGCAUAACAGUAGAUGUUGCAUGACAUUUACUUAAAAGGUGCAAUUGCAUCACUACCAGAUGGACCUGCGUUGUAUUAGCUAGUUGGUGGGGUAACGGCUCACCAAGGCGACGAUACAUAGCCGACCUGAGAGGGGGAUCGGCCACACUGGGACUGAGACACGGCCCAGACUCCUACGGGAGGCAGCAGUAGGGAAUCUUCGGCAAUGGACGGAAGUCUGACCGAGCAACGCCGCGUGAGUGAAGAAGGUUUUCGGAUCGUAAAGCUCUGUUGUAAGAGAAGAACGAGUGUGAGAGUGGAAAGUUCACACUGUGACGGUAUCUUACCAGAAAGGGACGGCUAACUACGUG
rnacentral:rRNA from 1 species